rnacentral:tRNA from 1 species
GGCGCGUUGUCCGAGUGGUUUUAGGUGACGACCUGCAAAGUCGUUUACAAGGGUUCGAUCCCCUUACGCGCCUCCA